rnacentral:rRNA from 1 species
UACAGAGGGUGCGAGCGUUGUCCGGAAUCACUGGGCGUAAAGGGCGCGUAGGUGGUGGCUUAAGCGUGCGGUGAAAGCUCGGGGCUCAACCCCGAGUCGGCCGUGCGAACUGGGCUCACUGGAGCAUAGUAGAGGCAGGUGGAAUUCCGGGUGUAGCGGUGGAAUGCGUAGAGAUCCGGAAGAACACCGGUGGCGAAGGCGGUUCUCUGGGACGGUACUGACGCUGAGACGCGAAAGCGUGGGGAGCGAACAGG